CAGACCUCUAAUCGGAAAAGACUACCCGCUGAGUUUAANCAU
rnacentral:rRNA from 1 species